GCACAAGACCAGGAGGCCUCGCUCAGCGUUCCAGCGCCAUGAUAUACGCCGGAAGAAAGCCUUUGCUGACCAAAGUUCCCUGAAGAGGCAUCACUGGGACCUGAUCAAUGGAGCAAUGGGAUUCCAGUCUGCUGCAGCUGCAGGCAGGAAUGAGGAAAUCACAAGCUGCAGAGAGGUUGUGGAUUGGCUUGAAGGCUGGAGGCAUAGUAAGAACAACCUAGAAGAAGGAGGCCAACCAGUGCCAGCUGAAGUCCCUGCUUCCUGAGAUGAGCGGCCCUACUCUGCCACACACUGCCCACCGUGAUGCUCUACACUGCCACAGCUGAAAAGCAAAUGGUGCCAGCCACUCAUAGGCUGGCACCGCUAAGCCAGGAGCCAAAAUACGGGAGCCUAAUUGAAAUUCCUUAGCUAUUUCUCACCUGACAGAAACUCGCAUACUCAUCCAAAAGAAUUAUCUGGCCCAAAGCAUAAAUAGCACUAAGGUUGAAAAACGACAUUCUAGCACUCCAGAAUAAACUAGUUUUUGACAAUUUAACUAAACAACUUCUUGGCACUAACUUUGCCUUCCAAGUAAACAGUUACAUCAUACAAGCCACUGGCUGAAGAACGGGUAUGCGUGGUCCAGCCUUGAAGCGCAGUGGGUCACUCUUCCUCUUCAAAGCCGUGUGGUGUUGGCUUCUCACACACAGUGCUAUGCCCU